UACAGAGACCUCAAGCAUUAUCCGGAUUUAUUGGGCGUAAAGGGUCCGCAGGUGGUCGUGUGCGUCUCGCGUCAAAUCUCAGGGCUCAACUCUGAAACCGCGCGAGAUACGACAUGACUAGAGGCCGGGAGAGGUAAGCGGAAUUGCCGGUGUAGUAGUAAUAUGCGUUAAUAUCGGCAAGAACACCAAAUGCGAAGGCAGCUUACUGGAACGCGCCUGACACUCAGGGACGAAAGCGUGGGGAGCAAAAGGG
rnacentral:rRNA from 1 species